ensembl:lncRNA
AGAUGGCGUGGGUGUCAGUGCCAGGUCCUGGGCUAAUGCUGCCAAGGCAGGCAUGAAGCAAGCAGCUGCCCCUCAGGAGAAAGCCAGACCUGCUACCUUUCAGCAGAUAGUUACCAUUAACAAAGCCAAAGCUGAAUAUGGUGCUACUCCAAAAAUCAACAAGAAAGCAACAGUUUUCCAUCCAGGAUCAAAUCAGAAGGUGAUAACCUUGAAACAGUGCUGCUUUCACCCCUGCAACCAAAUCCACUUUGUCAGAUUUUGCAACCCUCCUGGCUAUCAGCAUUUUGGAUUCCAGCCGCAUCAAGCCAACUAUCCUCCAGGAUUCAGCUGUCCCCGUUUUCCUUUCCAACAGGCCACGGGUGUCCCUCCUGAAAGUGGCCGUGUGAGAUGGCAGCCGUGGUGACACAGUUUUCUUUUCUUUUUCUUUUGUUUGUCUUCACCCAUGACAGUUCUGGUCUGUAUAAAAAUGCACUAACCUCAGUUGUUUUUCCUUUAUUAUAAUCCCAAUGAAUAUUUGCAUCAAAGUAGCACUUGGGCAUGGGUAAUAUACUCUUCUAUUCUAAAACACAGUACUGUAGUGAAAUUUAUUAAAUGAGGCAGAGGCAAAGGACACACAACAGUCAUUGCUUUAGUUCAUUAGUGAGCAUCUGGAUGCUGUGCACGCACAAGUUAGGCUCUAAAUACAAAAUGCAAACUGUAUGCACUUUCCAA